rnacentral:rRNA from 1 species
CCUACGGGUGGCAGCAGUGGGGAAUAUUGGACAAUGGGCGAAAGCCUGAUCCAGCCAUGCCGCGUGUGUGAAGAAGGCCUUCGGGUUGUAAAGCACUUUCAGUGGGGAAGAAAGCCUUGGGGCUAAUACCCUCGAGGAAGGACAUCACCCACAGAAGAAGCACCGGCUAACUCCGUGCCAGCAGCCGCGGUAAUACGGAGGGUGCGAGCGUUAAUCGGAAUUACUGGGCGUAAAGCGCGCGUAGGCGGUCUGAUAAGCCGGUUGUGAAAGCCCCGGGCUCAACCUGGGAACGGCAUCCGGAACUGUCAGGAUAGGGGGCAGGAGAGGAAGGUAGAAUUCCCGGUGUAGGGGUGAAAUGCGUAGAGAUCGGGAGGAAUACCAGUGGCGAAGGCGGCCUUCUGGACUGACACUGACGCUGAGGUGCGAAAGCGUGGGUAGCAAACAGGAUUAGAUACCCGGUAGUC